CGUGGCGUCCGGGUGAGUAACACGUAGGGAACCUACCCUCGAGCGGGGGAUAACGUUCCGAAAGGAACGCUAAUACCGCAUGAGACCACGGCAGCUCUGGCUGCUGAGGUCAAAGAUGGCCUCUGUACACAAGCUAUCACUCGAGGAUGGUCCUGCGGCGCAUCAGCUAGUUGGUGGGGUAACGGCCUACCAAGGCGAAGACGCGUAGCUGGUCUGAGAGGAUGAUCAGCCACACUGGCACUGAAACACGGGCCAGACUCCUACGGGAGGCAGCAGUGGGGAAUAUUGGUCAAUGGGCGCAAGCCUGAACCAGCCACGCCGCGUGAGUGAUGAAGGCCUUCGGGUUGUAAAGCUCUGUGGGGAGGGAAGAAAACGGCGCAUAAGAAACGAUGCGUCCUUGACGGUACCUCCUUAGCAAGCACCGGCUAACUCUGUGCCAGCAGCCGCGGUAAUACAGAGGGUGCGAACGUUGCUCGGAAUUACUGGGCGUAAAGCGCGUGUAGGCGGGACCGUAAGUCAGAUGUGAAAUCCCCGAGCUCAACUCGGGAACUGCAUCUGAAACUGCGGACCUUGAGUACUGGAGAGGGCGGCGGAAUUCCUGGUGUAGAGGUGAAAUUCGUAGAUAUCAGGAGGAACACCGGUGGCGAAGGCGGCCGCCUGGACAGUCACUGACGCUGAGACGCGAAAGCGUGGGGAGCAAACAGGAUUAGAUACCCUGGUAGUCCACGCCGUAAACGAUG
rnacentral:rRNA from 1 species